GGGGAGUGCUGGCUGCGGCAGCGGUUCCGCAGACUUCUCGCGAGAUCGGCGAGGUUUCCGGUGUUGUGACUGUGGGGCCAUAAACAUGGCGGUGAGUCUCCGCUCAUGCUCUUUGAGGCAUCUCCCUAUCCGAGGUCGGAACGACAGCGGUGAGGAGAACGUCCCCCUCGAUCUCAACCGAGAAUAGAACAGAAGAGGAAAAGGAGGACAGAUUCACCACCAGUGCAACUCCCAUUGCGGUCAUAUGGAAGGAAUUAUCAAUGGGAGGUGAGGCAGACUGAUUUAAUUAGACUACUGAAAUCAAUAUUAUAACUUCUAAAGGAUGGA